UGUUUUGAAUGGUGUUAAGCCAUGCUGUAGCCAAAAUGCACGGAAUUUUAAAAUGUCUUUUGGAUGUCAGUCAAGUUGACGAAGCUAACGUUAUUGCCACUGGUUUAAACUGGUUCCAGCUCAAUGCCACUGAAAAGAGGCCGGCAGCUUCUUAAAAAAAUGGAAGACUACGCUAGACCAUCAGAUCAAAUUGCUGAACAAACAGCGUACCAAAAUGCCUACGUUAUGCACUGUGGAACGCUCUGCGGAUGGACAGCUGUGGAAUCCACAAAGGUCAAAGAGGCUUUUGUUACGAGGGCUGGAGGUUCCAAAACAUACAUGAAGCUGGG